UACGAAGGGGGCGAGCGUUGUUCGGAAUUACUGGGCGUAAAGGGCUCGUAGGUGGCCAACUAAGUCAGACGUGAAAUCCCCAGGCUCAACUUGGGAACUGCGUCUGAUACUGGAUGGCUUGAAUUCGGGAGAGGGAUGCAGAAUUCCAGGUGUAGCGGUGAAAUGCGUAGAUAUCGGGAGGAACACCGGUGGCGAAGGCGGUUCUCUGGGCCGGUACUGACGCUGAGACGCGAAAGCGUGGGGAGCGAACAGG
rnacentral:rRNA from 1 species